rnacentral:rRNA from 1 species
CAGUCGCCGCGGUAAUACGAAGGGUGCAAGCGUUAAUCGGAAUUACUGGGCGUAAAGCGUGCGUAGGCGCUGAGUUAAGUCUGCUGUGAAAUCCCCGGGCUCAACCUGGGAAUGGCAGUGGAUACUGGCUCGCUAGAGUGUGUCAGAGGAUGGUGGAAUUCCCGGUGUAGCGGUGAAAUGCGUAGAGAUCGGGAGGAACAUCAGUGGCGAAGGCGGCCAUCUGGGACAACACUGACGCUGAGGCACGAAAGCGUGGGGAGCAAACAGGAUUAGAUACCCCCGUAGUCCCUGUCUCUUAUAA